rnacentral:rRNA from 1 species
GACGAACGCUGGCGGCGUGCUUAACACAUGCAAGUCGAACGGAAAGGCCCUGCUUUUGUGGGGUGCUCGAGUGGCGAACGGGUGAGUAACACGUGAGUAACCUGCCCUUGACUUUGGGAUAACUUCAGGAAACUGGGGCUAAUACCGGAUAGGAGCUCCUGCUGCAUGGUGGGGGUUGGAAAGUUUCGGCGGGUGGGGAUGGACUCGCGGCUUAUCAGCUUGUUGGUGGGGUAGUGGCUUACCAAGGCUUUGACGGGUAGCCGGCCUGAGAGGGUGACCGGCCACAUGGGGACUGAGAUACGGACCAGACUCCUACGGGAGGCAGCAGUGGGGAAUAUUGCACAAUGGGCGGAAGCCUGAUGCAGCAACGCCGCGUGCGGGAUGACGGCCUUCGGGUUGUAAACCGCUUUCGCCUGUGACGAAGCGUGAGUGACGGUAAUGGGUAAAGAAGCACCGGCUAACUACGUG